GGAGGGGUGCCAGAGUGGUUGAUCGGGACGGUCUUGAAAACCGUUGACGUCGCGAGACGUCCGUGGGUUCGAAUCCCACCCCCUCCG
rnacentral:tRNA from 1 species